CCCUCAUGCUAACAAUUAGCAGCAACUAAAUUUGUAACCUUUACAAAUUAGCAGUUUUUUAAUUCAAACCAUCAAUUCAAUUGAUAAUUUGAUUAUGAUCCAAGCUAUUGAUCAGAUCGUGCUCUUUUUAUAUAUGACCCCUUGGAUUAUAUUGUCUGGUAGUGAGACAUACCGUGAUCUCCAUCAUAGUAUCAUCGAAACUCCUUUCGAUGGGCUAGAAUGAUUCUAACUUAACCCAACAAGGUUCAUUGAUCCGAAAAUAAUCCUAGUGAGUUCUCACAAUCCAUCAGUAACGUCUAGCAGCAUGUAGUGGCAAUCUAGCAGAACAAAAAAAUCUGAACCCCUA
rnacentral:lncRNA from 1 species